rnacentral:snRNA from 1 species
AGCCAUGUAGUCAACACAAAGUGAACUAUUCUUUUGCCUCUUACUAAAUAAUAUUGUGUGUUGGCUACUCACAGCGGCAUACGCCAAUUUUUGAAGUCUUCCAUCAUUUGAAAAU